AACGAACGCUGGCGGCAUGCCUAACACAUGCAAGUCGAACGAAGCCUCCGGGCUUAGUGGCGCACGGGUGCGUAACGCGUGGGAAUCUGCCCUUGGGUUCGGAAUAACAGUUAGAAAUGACUGCUAAUACCGAAUGAUGUCUUCGGACCAAAGAUUUAUCGCCCAAGGAUGAGCCCGCGUCGGAUUAGCUAGUUGGUGAGGUAAAGGCUCACCAAGGCGACGAUCCGUAGCUGGUCUGAGAGGAUGAUCAGCCACACUGGGACUGAGACACGGCCCAGACUCCUACGGGAGGCAGCAGUGGGGAAUAUUGGACAAUGGGCGAAAGCCUGAUCCAGCAAUGCCGCGUGAGUGAUGAAGGCCUUAGGGUUGUAAAGCUCUUUUACCCGGGAUGAUAAUGACAGUACCGGGAGAAUAAGCCCCGGCGUAA
rnacentral:rRNA from 1 species